CAGUCGCCGCGGGAAUACGUAGGGUGCAAGCGUUAAUCGGAAUUACUGGGCGUAAAGCGUGCGCAGGCGGUUAUAUAAGACAGAUGUGAAAUCCCCGGGCUCAACCUGGGACCUGCAUUUGUGACUGUAUAGCUAGAGUACGGUAGAGGGGGAUGGAAUUCCGCGUGUAGCAGUGAAAUGCGUAGAUAUGCGGAGGAAUACCGAUGGCCAAGGCAGCCCCCUGGGAUAACACUGACGCUCAUGCACGAAAGCGUGGGGAGCAAACAGGAUUAGAUACCCCCGUAGUCCCUGUCUCUUAUAC
rnacentral:rRNA from 1 species